rnacentral:lncRNA from 1 species
CCCCAUAUCUGCUUCCCUGUCACAAAAACUCAUCGUCAAAUUUGCUUACUUACUAGUUUGGAAAUGGACGUUGUCGAUCCAAUAUUCAUGAGCCUAGAAGAAUUAGAGGAAAGAGUUGAAGCUCUACCAGAUCGUGAAGAAAUUGAAGAAAAAUUAUCAGAUCUAUCCGAUCGAAUUCACGUAUUAGACUGUUUUAUUCAUUGUUUACUUAUGCGUUUGGUCAUU